UGGGGAAUUUUGGACAAUGGGCGAAAGCCUGAUCCAGCAAUGCCGCGUGUGUGAAGAAGGCCUUCGGGUUGUAAAGCACUUUUGUCCGGAAAGAAAUCCUUGGCUCUAUACAGUCGGGGGGAUGACGGUACCGGAAGAAUAAGCACCGGCUAACUACGUGCCAGCAGCCGCGGUAAUACGUAGGUGCAAGCGUUAAUCGGAUUACUGGGCGUAAAGCGUGCGCAGGCGGUUUGCUAAGACCGAUGUGAAAUCCCCGGGCUCAACCUGGGAACUGCAUUGGUGACUGGCAGGCUAGAGUAUGGCAGAGGGGGGUAGAAUUCCACGUGUAGCAGUGAAAGUGCGUAGAGAUGUGGAGGAAUACCGAUGGCGAAGGCAGCCCCCUGGGGCCAAUACUGACGCUCAUGCACGAAAGCGUGGGGAGCAAACAGGAUUAGAUACCCUGGGUAGUCCACGCCCUAAACGAUGUC
rnacentral:rRNA from 1 species